UACAGGGGGGGCAAGCGUUGUUCGGAAUUACUGGGCGUAAAGGGCUCGUAGGUGGCCAACUAAGUCAGACGUGAAAUCCCUCAGCUUAACUGGGGAACUGCGUCUGAUACUGGAUGGCUUGAGUUUGGGAGAGGGAUGCGGAAUUCCCGGUGUAGCGGUGGAAUGCGUAGAGAUCGGGAAGAACAUCGGUGGCGAAGGCGGCCUGCUGGGCUCUUGCUGACACUGAUGCGCGACAGCGUGGGGAGCAAACAGG
rnacentral:rRNA from 1 species